GACAGAGGCCUCAAGCGUUAGGCGGAAUCACUGGGCUUAAAGCGUGUGUAGGCGGGUCGUUAAGUACCUUGUGGAAAUCCCACGGCUCACCCGUGGAACUGCUGGGUAUACUGGGCGAUCUUGGGCCCAACUAGGGGCAACUGGAACAAACGGUGGGAGCGGUGAAAUGCGUAGAUAUCGUUUGGAACGCCAAAGGUGAAAACAGGUUGCUGGGGUUGUGCC
rnacentral:rRNA from 1 species